AGACGUCUACAUUAGACUACCCCCGUAGUCCCAGCCGUAAACAAUGUGCGUUAGGUGUGUCGGUAACCACGUGUUACUGAUGCGCCGAAGAGAAAUCGUGAAACGCACCACCUGGGAAGUACGGUCGCAAGGCUGAAACUUAAAGGAAUUGGCGGGGGAGCACCACAACAGGUGGAGCCUGCGGUUUAAUUGGAUUCAACGCCGGACAUCUCACCGGAUAAGACAGCUGAAUGAUUGUCAAUCUGAAGGUUUUACAUGACUAGCUG
rnacentral:rRNA from 1 species